CAAAGGCGGCCUCGCUUCUCUUCCACUCUACCAACAGCCACGUCUCCCCCGCGACCAUGGCGUGGCCGUUGGUAGAGUAGGAGACGAGCAUGGCCACCUGUUCC
rnacentral:pre_miRNA from 1 species